GCGGAUGUGGUGGAACUGGUAGACACGCUAGAUUCAGGUUCUAGUGUUCGCAAGAACAUGGAGGUUCAAGUCCUCUCAUCCGCA
rnacentral:tRNA from 1 species